rnacentral:rRNA from 1 species
CAAUCUGCCUUGGAGUGGGGAAUAACGGCUGGAAACAGCCGCUAAUACCGCAUGAUGCAUCUGAGUCGCAUGGUUUGGAUGCCAAAGAUUUAUCGCUCUGAGAUGAGCUCGCGUCUGAUUAGCUAGUUGGCGGGGUAACGGCCCACCAAGGCGACGAUCUAGUAGCCGGACUGAGAGGUUGGCCGGCCACAUUGGGACUGAGACACGGCCCAGACUCCUACGGAAGGCAGCAG